rnacentral:rRNA from 1 species
AGUGAACGCUGGCGGUAGGCCUAACACAUGCAAGUCGAACGGCAGCACAGGAGAGCUUGCUCUCUGGGUGGCGAGUGGCGGACGGGUGAGGAAUACAUCGGAAUCUACUCUGUCGUGGGGGAUAACGUAGGGAAACUUACGCUAAUACCGCAUACGACCUACGAGUGAAAGCAGGGGACCUUCGGGCCUUGCGCGAUUGAAUGAGCCGAUGUCGGAUUAGCUAGUUGGCGGGGUAAAGGCCCACCAAGGCGACGAUCCGUAGCUGGUCUGGGAGGAUGAUCAGCCACACUGGAACUGAGACACGGUCCAGACUCCUACGGGAGGCAGCAGUGGGGAAUAUUGGACAAUGGGCGCAAGCCUGAUCCAGCCAUACCGCGUGGGUGAAGAAGGCCUUCGGGUUGUAAGGCCCUUUUGUUGGGAAAGAAAUCCAGCUGGCUAAUACCCGGUUGGGAUGACGGUACCCAAAGAAUAAGCACCGGCUAACUUCGUGCCAGCCGCCGCCGUAA